rnacentral:rRNA from 1 species
GACGAACGCUGGCGGCGUGCCUAAUACAUGCAAGUCGAGCGGAUGGAUGGGAGCUUGCUCCCUGAAGUCAGCGGCGGACGGGUGAGUAACACGUGGGCAACCUGCCCCUAAGAUCGGGAUAACUCCGGGAAACCGGUGCUAAUACCGGAUAAUCCUUUUCCUCUCAUGAGGAAAAGCUGAAAGUCGGUUUCGGCUGACACUUACAGAUGGGCCCGCGGCGCAUUAGCUAGUUGGUGAGGUAACGGCUCACCAAGGCGACGAUGCGUAGCCGACCUGAGAGGGUGAUCGGGCACACUGGGACUGAGACACGGCCCAGACUCCUACGGGAGGCAGCAGUAGGGAAUCUUCCACAAUGGACGAAAGUCUGAUGGAGCAACGCCGCGUGAGCGAUGAAGGCCUUCGGGUCGUAAAGCUCUGUUGUUAGGGAAGAACAAGUACCGGAGUAACUGCCGGUACCUUGACGGUACCUAACCAGAAAGCCACGGCUAACUACGUGCCAGCCGCCGCAGUAAAAC